CCCAAGCAAGAAGUCAGAUUCUACUUAUGUGCUCUUUGCUUAUAAUUAAUCAAGUUUAUUCCAUGACUAUGAUAAUGAGAACCAAAUACAGUUUACUAAUUUGUUGGAACUGCAGGGUUAUUGAGGAUGGCUCUUGGAAUCUCAAAAACAAUGCAAUGUACACCAAAACUAUGAAUCAAAAAGGGAAAAGGAAUUAUAAUCCCAACUACAACCCUAAUGGCAUAUGUGAUCAUUGCAAACUUCAAGG
rnacentral:lncRNA from 1 species